UUUAAAUGCAACCAUAAGUUUCCACGCUCAACUUUGAUCGUCCAUCUUAUUUGAAAAUUUUUUAUAAUUAGUACUUUUGUUGUUAUGAGAUGAUAAAACAUGAAUAGUAAUUUACUCGUGACUUAUGUUUUAAAUUUUUUUUAAAACAAUUUCAAUUAAGACGGACGGUUAAAGUUAGGCGCGAAAAACCAUGGCUGCACUUAAA
rfam:Oryza rufipogon genomic scaffold, chr03